rnacentral:ncRNA from 387 species
UGCGGAAGGAUCAUUA